UACGUAGGGUGCGAGCGUUGUCCGGAAUUACUGGGCGUAAAGAGCUCGUAGGCGGUUUGUCGCGUCUGCUGUGAAAACUGGAGGCUCAACCUCCAGCCUGCAGUCGAUACGGGCAGGCUAGAGUUCGGUAGGGGAGACUGGAAUUCCUGGUGUAGCGGUGAAAUGCGCAGAUAUCAGGAGGAACACCGGUGGCGAAGGCGGGUCUCUGGGCCGAUACUGACGCUGAGGAGCGAAAGCGUGGGGAGCGAACAGG
rnacentral:rRNA from 1 species